CCUACGGGAGGCAGCAGUGGGGAAUAUUGGACAAUGGGGGCAACCCUGAUCCAGCCAUGCCGCGUGUGUGAAGAAGGCCCUCGGGUUGUAAAGCACUUUCAGUGAGGAAGAACGCCUGGUGGUUAAUACCCAUCAGGAAAGACAUCACUCACAGAAGAAGCACCGGCUAACUCCGUGCCAGCAGCCGCGGUAAUACGGAGGGUGCGAGCGUUAAUCGGAAUUACUGGGCGUAAAGCGCGCGUAGGUGGCUUGAUAAGCCGGUUGUGAAAGCCCCGGGCUCAACCUGGGAACGGCAUCCGGAACUGUCAAGCUAGAGUGCAGGAGAGGAAGGUAGAAUUCCCGGUGUAGCGGUGAAAUGCGUAGAGAUCGGGAGGAAUACCAGUGGCGAAGGCGGCCUUCUGGACUGACACUGACACUGAGGUGCGAAAGCGUGGGUAGCAAACAGGAUUAGAUACCCCUGUGUC
rnacentral:rRNA from 1 species